rnacentral:rRNA from 1 species
UACGGAGGGUGCAAGCGUUAAUCGGAAUUACUGGGCGUAAAGCGCACGCAGGUGGCUGAGAAAGUCGAUUGUGAAAGCCCUGGGCUUAACCUGGGAAUUGCAGUCGAAACUACUCGGCUAGAGUAUGGGAGAGGACAGUGGAAUUCCCGGUGUAGCGGUGAAAUGCGUAGAUAUCGGGAGGAACAUCAGUGGCGAAGGUGGCUGUCUGGCCCAAUACUGACACUCAGGUGCGACAGCGUGGGGAGCAAACAGG